AUGCAGUGGGCUGUGAGCACGGUGGCCAAUCGGGGUUUUCUCCUGCAGGCAUUCCCUCCUGCCUUGUGUCAUCUGCUUAGUUGUGCACAGACCGAGAUACGUGGUGGUGACCCGGUGAAGCUGAUGCAGAGUCUAGUGGUUGGAGACACUGCAGAGCUGAGGCCAAACCAGAGGACACUGUUGCUGUUUACCAAUGAGGCUGGAGGCACCUUAGAUGACUUGAUUGUGACCAGCACUUCUGAGGGGCACCUACAUGUGAUGUCCAACACUGGCUGCUGGGAAAAAGACUUGGCCUUCAUGCAGGACAAGGUCAGAGAACUUUAGAGGCAGGGCAGAGAUGUGGGCCUGGAGGUAGUGGAUACUGCCCUGCUAGCCCUGAAAGGGCCCCCUGUGGCCCAGGUGCUACAGGCCAGCACGGCAGCUGACCUGAGGAAACUGCCUUCAUGACUAGUGCUGUGAUGGAGGUGUUUGACGUGUCUGGCCGCCACCUUACACACUGUGGCUGCACAGGAGAGAAUGGUGUGGACAUCUUGGUGCCAGCAGCGGGGGCAGUUCACCCCGCAUCAGCUCUUCUGGAAAACCCAGAGGCAAAGCUGGCAGUGCUGGCAGCUUGCGCCUGGAGGCAGGCCUCCGGCUGUACAGGAGUGACACUGAUGAACACACUACCCCUGUGGAGGGCAGCCUCAGUUGGACAUUGGGGAAGUGCCACUGAGCUGCUCUCGACUUCCCUGGAGCCAAGGUCAUUGUUCCCCAGCUGAAGGGAAAGUGCAGUGGAGGCGUGUGGGGUUGAUGUGUGAGGGGGCCCUGAUGCAGGCACACAGUCCCACCUGAGCAUGGAGGGCCCAUGAUUGGUACUGUGACCAGUGGCUGUCCCUUGCCCUACCUGAAGAAGACUGUGGCAAUGAGUUACAUGCCCUGCCAGUAGUCAGCCAGGGAUAAUGCUGCUGGUAGAGGUGCGGCAGAAGCAGCAGAUGGGCGCAGUCAGCAAGAUGCCCUUUGCGCCCAUGAACUGCUCUACCCUCAUGUGA
rnacentral:lncRNA from 1 species